CGAUUACGGGAGGCAGCAGGUGGGGAAUAUUGCGCAAGUCGGGGGGAACCCUGACGCAGCCAUGCCGCGUGAAUGAAGAAGGCCUUCGGGUUGUAAAGUUCUUUCGGUAGCGAGGAAGGCAUUUAGUUUAAUAAACUAGGUGAUUGACGUUAACUACAGAAGAAGCACCGGCUAACUCCGUGCCAGCAGCCGCGGUAAUAUCG
rnacentral:rRNA from 1 species